CUCAGCGGGCUUGGGUCGUCCGGCCGCGGGGUCAGGGAAGACCAGAGGACCACUAGCCCCAGGAAGCUUCCCACCACCAGCAAACUGCGUGGUGAAUUUGUAACCGAAAGGCCCAGGUGAGAUGUGCAAAUAUCACUGGAUUGGAGGAGCUCACUUGGAAAGCCAGUAUUCCUCCUGAGCUAAUGAAAAGAAAGGCUGUCGUCUUAUGCCAAAAGCAAUACCAACCUUGUUCACGGGCUGAGAUCUAGAGUGUGUAAUUCACGAAGUAUGAAUCUGCUGGGUAAUGUGAUAUGAAAAGCGAAUGCACCAUUUCUUGGUGAUGAUUCAGGUCAGCGUUGGGACCCAGGAAUCUCCUGUUAAUCAGUACCCUGGUGAUUUUGAUCCAGAGACGGGGUCUAUUAUCUGGUCCUGUUGUCAAGGCUGGUCUCAAACUCCUGGCCUCCAGCGAUCCUCCCUUUUUGGCCUCCCAAGAUGCUGGUAUUACAGGCAUGAGCCACCAUGGUCCACCCGGACUCCUUUUCAUAGGAGACAGUUCCCUAGGCAGAGACUGGGCUUGAAACAGUUCCUCUAAAGAAGAGGGUAGAGACUAGAACUGAAUGAGAUGGACAUAGAGAUGGCCAAGAAAAGCAUCGUCCUCUGCCAAGUCAUGGGGUCAUGUGUGGUGGAUGGUGACAUGGUGUCCUCAGCUCAGAGUCCAGCUGGGGGCUCAGAAGCAAGGUAACUGAAGGGAGAGAAUUAUUUGAGCACCUAGUGUGUGUAAGAUGCUUCACAUUUAUUAUUUCACCUAACCUCUACACAACCUGUUGUGGGUAUUACUGGUCUCAAGCUGGGAUUCAAAGCAGGUUUUUCCAACCUCAGAAUUCUUGCCAGACUGAUUAGCCUUCUGCAUCUGGAACAUAAAUGUUUUCAGGCAGCAUAAUGUGCAAGAGGUCAGAGCCUAAAGCUUUGUUAUUUUUUAAUUUCUCCACCAUGUCAACUCUGUUACAGGGAAGCCCAGCAGAGGGAAUUGUAUCCAUUUUGGGGCUACACUACCCCAAUGCUAUGCUGCAGCCAAGCUGAACUUCUAAGUUUCUAAAUGUAACUCACUUACCUUCAGGCCUUUGUACGGGGAGUUCUUUUUGCCUGAAAUACCUUCUGACAUCUUAACAUUACGCUUAGAUGUCAGUUACAAAAAAGCUUUUUCUAGACUCUCUCACAUGUCCCACUCCACACCCCUAUAUCUCUUCCCACCAAUGUACUAGGGUAGGUAUCCUGCUAGGUACUUCCACUGCACCCUCUACUUUUCUUCCCUAAUGAUUACCACUAUAUUGUAAUUGCUUAAUUUCUUUUUCCUAUACCCAGAUAAAAAUGUGUAUGAAGGUGGAGCCUUGUCUAUCUAGUUCGUUAUUGUUAUCCGUGUCUGAGUGGGUACAGAGGAAAGGCCCUAUGAGGAUACAGCAAGAAGGCAGCCAUCUGCAAGUCAGGAAGAGACCUAUCAUCAGAAACCAACCAUGCUGGCACCUUGAUCUUGGACUUUGAGUCUCCAGAACUGUGAGAAAUAAAGUUGUUGUUUAAGCCACCUAGUCUCUGAUAUUCUGCUACAGCAGUUUGAGCAGAGUAAUAUAGUUGGCUAUCCAGUUAAACGCCCUAUCACCUACAGCCCCAUCCUCAUUGCCUACUUCCUUCUAGAGAGUGAGCUCCCAUAGAUCUGGCUAAGUGAGUAGCAAGGAAGCAAUGUAAUCUUGCGACCUGAGAACAGCCAUUUAUCCCAGCUGUUCACACUUGAUCUAAGUUUGUCCAACAGAUUCACUCUAGGGGGAAUUUAAAGCAGGGACUUAGAAAUUCUAGUUAGUUUCUGUGAGAUGCCUUAAAAGAGAAAGUAUUUGAAGCCUGGGCUGUGGAACCAUGUGCAUGAAUAUUUUUGGGGAGAAGAAAAAGAAUAAAGUAGAUAUGCAAAUGUGUGAAGAGAGGAAGAGAUGCUAAUCCAUGAGAGUAGCCUAAGAGAGACUGGAGGAGGGACCUUGGCUGUGAACUCUGAAGUGCUGACUUCCAGUCUCUUAAGAGUCCCCAUUCAAGUUCUGUACUUGGUUUCUAUGAAAUAUCUCUGAUUUUUAACAAAAAUUCCUUUUUGCUUCAGCUGUCUCUAAGCAACUUCUGUUGUUUUGCAACCUGAUUCCUUAGUAAGACAUAUGGAAACAUGUAAAUCAAAGCCUAAAGUAUGAAUUAAGUAAAAAUUCCACAAUAAACAUAAGGUUGAUUCAUGAA
rnacentral:lncRNA from 1 species